GUAUGAUCCUAACAUGUUACAGGUAUGAUCCUAACAUGUUACAGGUAUGAUCCUAACAUGUUACAGGUAUGAUCCUAACAUGUUACAGGUAUGAUCCUAACAUGUUACAGGUAUGAUCCUAACAUGUUACAGGCAUGAUCCUUCCAUGUUUAUAUAUAUAUUUAUAUAUACUGAACUUAUGUAGAACUGCAACAUGCAACUAUUUCAACUAUUUUACUGAGCUGCUGCUCAUUUAAGGAAAUCAGUCAAUUGAAAUAAAUUCAUUAGGCCCUAAUCUAUGUAUUUCACAUGACUGGGAAGGGGCACAGAUGGGGGGCCAGGCCCAGCCAAUCAGAAUGAGUUUUUCCCCCCAAAAAGGCUUUCUUACAGAAAUAAAUACUCCUCAGUUUCAUCAGCUGUCCAGGUGGCUGGUCUCAGAUGAUCCCACAGGUGAAGAUGCCGGAUGUGGAGGUCCUGGGCUAGGCAGAAAACACUUGAGUUAGGCUGAAACACCUGCAUUUUGGAGCUGCCUUACUAAAGAAAGCAAAAAAGCGGC
ensembl:lncRNA